rnacentral:ncRNA from 1 species
UAAAUUGAGAGUUUGAUCCUGGCUCAGGACGAACGCUGGCGGCGUGCCUAACACAUGCAAGUCGAGCGAUGAAACUUCCUUCGGGGAGUGGAUUAGCGGCGGACGGGUGAGUAACACGUGGGUAACCUGCCUCAAAGAGGGGGAUAGCCUCCCGAAAGGGAGAUUAAUACCGCAUAACAUUAUUUUAUGGCAUCAUAAAAUAAUCAAAGGAGCAAUCCGCUUUGAGAUGGACCCGCGGCGCAUUAGCUAGUUGGUGAGGUAAGGGCUCACCAAGGCGACGAUGCGUAGCCGACCUGAGAGGGUGAUCGGCCACAUUGGAACUGAGACACGGUCCAGACUCCUACGGGAGGCAGCAGUGGGGAAUAUUGCGCAAUGGGGGAAACCCUGACGCAGCAACGCCGCGUGAGUGAUGAAGGUUUUCGGAUCGUAAAACUCUGUCUUUAGGGACGAUAAUGACGGUACCUAAGGAGGAAGCCACGGCUAACUACGUGCCAGCAGCCGCGGUAAUACGUAGGUGGCAAGCGUUGUCCGGAUUUACUGGGCGUAAAGAGUAUGUAGGUGGGUGCUUAAGUCAGAUGUGAAAUUCCCGGGCUUAACCUGGGCGCUGCAUUUGAAACUGGGCAUCUAGAG